UACGGAGGGUGCAAGCGUUAUCCGGAUUCACUGGGUUUAAAGGGUGCGUAGGUGGGCAGGUAAGUCAGUGGUGAAAUCUCCGGGCUUAACCCGGAACUGCCGUUGAUACUAUUGUCUUGAAUAUUGUGGAGGUAAGCGGAAUAUGUCAUGUAGCGGUGAAAUGCUUAGAUAUGACAUAGAACACCAAUUGCGAAGGCAGCUUACUACACAACGAUUGACGCUGAGGCACGAAAGCGUGGGGAUCAAACAGG
rnacentral:rRNA from 1 species